GCUGGGAGUACAGAUCCCCAAAGCAAGCCUCUUACCUGAGCUGUCUGAUCAACCAGCACAGACUCUCUUCUCCUCCUCAGGACACUGCAAAAUUUUGGUUCUAGCUAUAAGGGGAAAUUUUGGAAUGGCUUCACCUGCAGGAACUUCCAAGAGCUAACCCACAGUGCUUCCAGCCACAGUGCUGUUUUAUCCAUGGGAUGAGGAAAAUGGUAGCAGCUUGGCAUUAUGUGUGGAAUCAUAGAAUUGUUUAGGCUGGAAAAGACCUUUAAGAUCAUUGCACCCAACUACUAACCACAUUGCCAAGGUCACCACUAAACCCUGUCC